rnacentral:lncRNA from 1 species
CCAGCAGUAGGAUGUGGAGCGCAGGGAUAGGAGGAAGUCUGGAUUUCGAGUUGCUGUACGCGCGAAGGACCAAUUUUGCUGCUCACGUGGGGGAGAGUUAGAGUUUGACCGAAACUCUCCUAGCAGUGGUUUGAGUCGGUCAAGCGGUGGACUGCUGUUGAUGGUGCAAGGAAUUUGGAUGGGAUUUAAAUUGGUGGUGGCUGAAAUUAAGGAGAAAAACAUGGAAUUUGAACUUGGGAAGGAUUUUAUGCCGAAAUAGAACUCAUGGAAGUACCAAUUCGGCUAUAGGCAAUUAAAUGCCGAAAAAGCUCUUAAAAUUUUGGCUUGUAUGGGUUGUUUUUCUUCUUUGUUUAGUUUUGGGUAUUUUUACGUGUUAG